CACAGAGGUGGUAGGGAAGCGGCUCUCGUAUAGAGAGAAGUCGUGCUCGUCCCCAAUGGGAUCGCUGUGGGAAACCGCAGUAAGACCUCGGCGCCGGAGGGACCAAUCAGGGCCGACGCUUCCCGAUCCGGGCAUUGGGAGAGACCCUUUCAGCCAAUCUUUGGUCGAUCGCUGGCUUGCUCGUGGCGUCAUCACGCAGCGCCGGAAGUGGUGAAGCUUCCAAGAGUGUCCUGGGUUUGUCUGUGUCCGCGGUCUCGAGAGUAAUGAUGCGGGUGUGCUGGUUGGUGAGACAGGAUAACCGGCACCAGCGAAUCAAACUUCCACAUUUGGAAGCAGUCAUGGUUGGGCGUGGUCCAGAGACCAAGAUCGUUGACAAGAAAUGUUCUCGACAACAAGUACAGUUGAAAGCAGAGUGUAACAAAGGAUAUGUCAAGGUAAAGCAGGUAGGGGUCAAUCCCACCAGCAUUGACUCAGUCAUAAUUGGGAAGGACCAAGAGGUGAAGCUGCAGCCUGGCCAGGUUCUCCACAUGGUGAAUGAACUUUAUCCAUAUAUCGUAGAAUUUGAGGAAGAAGCAGAGAGCCCUGGUCUGGAAACACACAGGAAAAGAAAGAGGUCAGGCAGCAGUGAUUCUAUAGAAAGAGAUGCUGCCCAGGAAGCUGAGUCCUGUACAGGACUGGAACCUGGGAGUGAUCCUAGCCAAUCUGCUCUGCCCUCAAAAAAGGGGAAAGAUGUAUCUACCAAAAAGGAAUCAUUGGGCCACUGGAGUCAAGGCUUGAAAAUUUCUAUGCAGGAUCCCAAAAUGCAGAUUUACAAAGAUGAGCAGGUGGUGGUGAUUAAGGAUAAAUAUCCCAAGGCUCGUCACCAUUGGCUGGUCUUACCAUGGGCUUCCAUUUCCAGUCUGAAGGUUGUGACCAGGGAACACCUUGAGCUCCUCAAACACAUGCACACUGUGGGGGAAAAGAUGAUCACAGAUUUUGCUGGGUCCAGCAAACUCCGCUUCCGAUUGGGUUACCAUGCCAUUCCCAGCAUGAGCCAUGUACACCUUCAUGUGAUCAGCCAGGAUUUUGAUUCUCCUUGCCUUAAAAACAAAAAACAUUGGAAUUCUUUCAAUACAGAAUACUUCCUAGAAUCACAAGCUGUGAUAGAGAUGGUACAGGACACUGGCAGAGUGAGUGUCCGAGAUGGGACGCCUGAGCUCUUGAAGCUGCCUCUCCGUUGUCAUGAGUGUCAGCAGCUGCUGCCUUCCAUUCCUCAGCUGAAAGAGCAUCUCAGGAGGCACUGGCCAAAGUGAUUCCAUGGAGCCUGGACUUUUGCAGCAGACCAUGAAGUUCUUUAGAACAGAUGCUGUUUUUUGGUUCUCCAUCAAGUACUCAAUGAAAUUCAUUGUACCUGGAUCAUAAUAGGAUCCCAAUAAAAUUUGGAGUGGAUGAGACCUCAUGUUUCAUUGAAAGCAUGAAGAAAACAACCCUCUCUGUUGCAGCUGAAUUUAAUUGUCAACUGUGUCUGGAUAAAGGGGAUUCCUUCCUGUUCAAAUCCAACUCCUCACCUUUACCUCAAGUCCAAGAAGGAAGCAUUUGUGUUCUGGGCAGGAGGAUGGAGGAAAAGAGGAAGAAGGGGAUUAAGGACUCACAAAUACUCUCUGAAGAAGUUUCCUGGAAUCUCCUUCAUGACUCUUCUUUUUGUAUUACCAUGGCCAGAAUUCAGCCACAAGCCACAGGUGACCAAGCUUUAAGGGAGGUUGUGAAAUAUAACCUUUAUUUUGGGCAAAUCUAUAUCCAACUAAAAAUUCUAUUAGUACAGAAGCAGCACAGAAUGAAAAUCGGAGAUAGGGAACAGUCUCUGCAGUCUCUGCCAGUGUUCUUUUGCACAUGAAAAAAAUUGAGUUGCCUUUCUCUUUCUUAUUUUUUACUUAUAUUGCAAAUGUUUUACAAAUUUAGAUCUUUUAAUCUUUUAAUUUAGUGUAUGCUAUCUCAUGAUACAGAGGUUUAAAAUUGUUAUGUCACUGAAACAUGCAUUCCUUUUUUUUAAAAAAAAUUCAUUGUUUCUGGAAUUCAUAUUUUGCUUAAAUAGUCCUUCCUUAUCCAUAUGCUCUCAUAUUUUCUUUUACUUUUUAAAAAAACAUUUUAUUUAUUUGAGAAAGAGAGAGAGAGCAUGAGAGGGAGAAGCAGACUCCCUGCUGAGCUGGGAGCCCAAUGUGGGACUCGAACCCAGGACUCUGGGAUCAUGACCUGAGUCAAAGACAGUUGCUUAACCAACUGAACCACCCAGACAUCACUGUUUACAUAUUUUCUUUUGGUACAUUUAUGCCUUUUUUUUUUUUUUUAAACUUUAGGUCUUCAUUAUAUCUGGUAUUUAUAAAUUUUGAUCUAGUGUGACAUAGGGAUCUAUCUAUUUUUUAAAUUUUUAUUUAAUGAACUCCCAACUCAUUUUAAACUAGUCUUCAUUCUCAUUCAUUUGAAGUACCAUAUGUACGGUGAACUAAAUUUUGCUAUGUACACAAGUCUGUUAUGGGCUUCCUAUUCCAUUUCCAUUGAGCUAUUACUAAACUCACACCUCAGUUUUCAUUACCAUAGUUUUGCAGAGUUUCUUUAUUCUUCACUCUUUUUCUUUUUCUCCCCGUUCCUCCUCCUUUCUCCUCUCUACUUCUGUUUCACCUAGCCAGGCUUGUUGGAUGCUCCUAUGAAGACGAGACAAAUGGACAUAGGCUUCCAUCUCUGUUUCCUUCACCGUAGAAUUUUCAUCCUUUUCAUACUCAGCAGCCUCCCAUUUCUUUGCUGCCCGGUGUCACCCCUUCCAGGUCUUGCAUUGUGUGGGAGGCUGGCAUUGGAAGGAUUGCUGCUUUUAGUUGACUUGUUCUUUGUGCUUCCUCCUUUCAAUCCUUUGGAUACCGUGUGUGUAUAAAAUCUGUUUCUCUUUAUCACUAUAUUCUAAAAUUUUCCCUAAGCUCUCUGAAGAUGUAAAAACGAUUGUUAAUCUCAGUAUAUGCGGAGUCACCUCUUUAUUUCCUUUUGUUUAUUUUUUUUUGAUUGCCUGACUGUUUUCUUCAGGAAGGAUGAAACUGUUCUCUGACUCAGUGAGCUGCCGAAUCUCAAAACCAGGUAGCACAUGAGUGUUCUGUGAUGCUCACUGGUUUCAUAUGGCUGUGGAAACCAUUUGCUGCCUCAAGUUUUGGCUGAACUUGUCCUGCAUGCAGAUAAUGAGGAAAUGCUGGGGUGUGGUUCUGCAGGUUGAGAAAUGGGCACACCUCUCCCUAUGGCUCUAUCUCCCCAGGCUCUUUGGGCU